GUCAGAUAAGUCAGUGGUGAAAGCCCAUCGCUCAACGGUGGAACGGCCAUUGAUACUGUCUGACUUGAAUUAUUAGGAAGUAACUAGAAUAUGUAGUGUAGCGGUGAAAUGCUUAGAGAUUACAUGGAAUACCAAUUGCGAAGGCAGGUUACUACUAAUAUAUUGACGCUGAUGGACGAAAGCGUGGGUAGCGAACAGGAUUAGAUACCCUGGUAGUCCACGCCGUAAACGAUGGACACUAGCUGUUGGGAGCAAUCUCAGUGGCUAAGCGAAAGUGAUAAGUAUCCCACCUGGGGAGUACGUUCGCAAGAAUGAAACUCAAAGGAAUUGACGGGGGCCCGCACAAGCGGUGGAGCAUGUGGUUUAAUUCGAUGAUACGCGAGGAACCUUACCAAGGCUUAAAUGUAGAUUGACCGGUUUGGAAACAGACUUUUCGCAAGACAAUUUACAAGGUGCUGCAUGGUUGUCGUCAGCUCGUGCCGUGAGGUGUCAGGUUAAGUCCUAUAACGAGCGCAACCCCUGUUGUUAGUUGCCAGCGAGUCAUGUCGGGAACUCUAACAAGACUGCCAGUGCAAACUGUGAGGAAGGUGGGGAUGACGUCAAAUCAUCACGGCCCUUACGCCUUGGGCUACACACGUGCUACAAUGGCCGGUACAGAGAGCAGCCACUGGGCGACCAGGAGCGAAUCUAUAAAACCGGUCACAGUUCGGAUCGGAGUCUGCAACUC
rnacentral:rRNA from 1 species